UGUGCUGUAUGACAUUGUCUUUUCACAUCACUAAGUCUAUUUUCUUGUAGGUGAAAUAUGAAUAUUGACAAAGUUGGUAUGAGGAUUAAGUGAGAUAAUGCAUUUAAAGCACAUAGUCUCAACAAACAAUAGUUAUGACUGUUAUUAUGAUCAUUGUUACUAUUCUUGAACGGGCAGUGAAUACAUUGUGCUAACCCUGGAUGUGCCAGAUAGGUGUCUUCUGCCUCUCAGAUACAGGAUGUCUCCUGUAAAGCAAAACAAAAACCUAUCCUGAUCUUCCUGGAUGAUUCAUAAAUGCUUGGUGAACAGUUUUUACUACACAUUUGUUCCCUGAUAGCCCCUUAGAAGUCUGUGGAAUUGGCUGGGCAUGGUGGCUUACCCAUGUAAUACCAGCACUUUGAGAGGCAGAGGUGGGCAGAUAACUUGAGGUCAGGAGUUCGAGACCAGCCUGACCAACAUGGUGAAACCCCGUCUCUACUAAAAAUACAAAAAUUAGCCGGGCGUUUUGGUGGGCGUCUGUAAUCUCAGCUACUUGGGAGGCUGAGACAGGAGAAUUGCUUGAACCCAUGAGGCGGAGGUUGCAGUGAGUCGAGAUUGCACCACUGCACUCCAGCUUGGGUGACAGAGUGAGACUCUGUCUCAAAAAAAAAGAAAGAAAUCUGUGGAAUAGUUGCCUGAGUCUUUGGGUGUGGGAUACUUAUGCAGCAUAGCGGCUUCAAUACCGUGCUCUGAAGUCUCGGGUCUAGUUACUAUGGAAUGGAAAGCUGAGGACAAGGACUAGAAGGAGAUUCUUCGGUAGUUUUUUGAACUCAACUUGUCCAUUCCAGCUAAACUUUAUUUCUCAUGCAACAUAAGUCUAUGAAGGCAAGAUUUUUCUUGGCAGCAUAAUUACUGCUACCCAAUAAGGGAAGAGAAUUUCCUUCUAAAGAUUCCUGCUGUUUUCUUAGCAGGUGGGAACUUUUGCACUCUGCAGCUGCUGGGUGCCAUUGCUGUCCAUCCUGGGCUUGCUCUUUCCAUUCUGAGAUGGGAAUGGAAAAAUCCACAGGGAACAAUUGGUAAUUCCAUCCUGAUUGGUAUGCAUUUUGGGGUGUUGGUUUUGUUUUGUUUUGUUUUGCUUGCUUGUUUUUCUUUGGUACUUCUAUUCUGUAACCUUAUCACUUAUAGUUUUUGAAAAGUCAAGAUGCAUCGUUUGACACAUAAUUAAAUAUUUGAAAACAGGGACUGUCCUGGAACUCUUGGACUUUGGGCUACUGUGUGCAUAACCUCAUGGAGGAGUCUGAGCAGCUCUGUCCAUCUGUAUGUGAAGGAUCAAAGUUUGCCCCAGGCUGGAGUGCAGUGGUGCGAUUUUGGCUCACAGCAGCCUUGAGCUCCUCGGCUCAAGCAAUCCUCCUGCCUCAGCCUCCCGAGUAGUUGGGAUUACAGGCAUAAGCCACCAUAUCUGGCUUGUGUAUUAUAAUUUUUAAGGGUGAUUUUGUAAAAUAAAAAAAGCAUAACCUUUGUUUUCUCAGAC